rnacentral:rRNA from 11 species
CUAGAAAAACUGACUGGUUUUGCUCAAGAAUAUGAAUCGCCGUGGGUGUCUGGCAUCUCGAUG